GAAUAUUGGACAAUGGGGGGAACCCUGAUCCAGCCAUGCCGCGUGUGUGAAGAAGGCCGUUUGGUUGUAAAGCACUUUAAGCGAGGAGGAGGCUACUCGAGUUAAGACCUAGAGAGAGGGGACGUUACGCGCAGAAGAAGCACCGGCUAACUGUGGGCCAGCAGCCGCGGGAAUACAGAGGGUGCAAGCGUUAAUCGGAUUUACUGGGCGUAAAGCGCGCGUAGGUGGCCAAUUAAGUCAAAUGUGAAAUCCCCGAGCUUAACUUGGGAAUUGCAUUCGAUACUGGUUGGCUAGAGUAUGGGAGAGGAUGGUAGAAUUCCAGGUGUAGCGGUGAAAUGCGUAGAGAUCUGGAGGAAUACCGAUGGCGAAGGCAGCCAUCUGGCCUAAUACUGACACUGAGGUGCGAAAGCAUGGGGAGCAAAC
rnacentral:rRNA from 1 species